rnacentral:rRNA from 1 species
CUUGACUGUAGCUUGGUAUUGGGUUCGGGCUUUGACUGCGCAGGAUAGGUGGGAGACUAUGAAGCUGCCCUUGUGGGGGCAGUGGAGUCAUCAGUGAGAUACCACUCUGUCAAGGCUAGAAUUCUAACCGUCUGCCGUUAUCCGGCGACGGAACAGUAUCAGGUGGGCAGUUUGACUGGGGCGGUCGCCUCCUAAAUGGUAACGGAGGCGCGCAAAGGUUCCCUCAGGCUGGUUGGAAAUCAGCCGAAGAGUGUAAAGGCAGAAGGGAGCUUGACUGCAAGAGCAACAACUCAAGCAGGGACGAAAGUCGGCCUUAGUGAUCCGACGGCGCUGAGUGGAAGGGCCGUCGCUCAACGGAUAAAAGUUA